rnacentral:tRNA from 1 species
GGAAGUGUGCCUGAAAGAUAAGGACCUCCUUGAUAGGGAGGAUAAUAGGGGUUCA